AUCCAGUUACUAGGAAGGAAGAAGACAACGGGAAAAGGAUUCUGUUUUAACAUUCCUGCUAUUUUUCUGCUCAUAGAGAAAAUAGAGGUCACAUUUCAAGGUUCAUCAUCACCGAGUUACUAGGAAGGAAGAAGACAAGAAAAGGAUUCUGUUUUUAUAUUCCUGCUUUUUAUCUGCUCAUAGAGAAAAUAGAGGUGCACUUUGACAAGGAUCAAUUUGAACCUCGACCAAAGGACUGAAAGUUUAGGCUGACUGCUGUCCCAACCAUCUUCCCUCACUGCAAAGUAUCCAAACUAAACUGAUAAAGAAGUCGCCCCGAUACAGAUUGCACAUGCCCAUCAUGACAUGCAUAACGGAAGAAGGUAGCAAAGCAACAUCAGCCUAUAGCAUUCCUACUAUGUAGAGCACUACAAUGCUCUUCCACUGGAAGUUGUAAAUUAAAGGC